AUAUAUAUAUAUAUAUAUAUAUAUAUAUAUAUAUAUAGAGAGAGAGAGAGAGAGAGAGAGAGAGAGAGAGAGAGAGAGAGAGAGAGAACUAGUGCUAUUAAUAGCACUAAGUCAUUGGUGCUAUCAAGUUUUUUACCGUUGGAUUAAGAGAUGUGCGGUUAGGAUGAUGUGGGCCUCCUAGGGUUGAGUGGGUGGUUGGUUGAAUAGUAUGAUUUAACGGAUGAAAAUGAUCAAAAGGGUAGAUCUAAUGGUGGAAAACUUGGUAGCACCAAGUGCUUUGUGCUAUCAAUAGCAUAGUAACCGGACUCAUAUAUAUAUGGAAAAACUUCAAAAACCCUCCAUGUGGUUUCGUAGUUUCUCACUUUACCCUCCUGUGGUUUAAAAUGUAUCAAUUUGCCCCCCUGUGGUUUCUUUUUUCUCUUUUUCUUAUCAAUUUUAUUAUUUUUUUUCUUAAAUCAGUGAUAAAGUUAAUUUAAAGGGUACUAAAGUAAAUAUUUGAUAAAUCUAGAUGGGUAUCUGAAGUUUUUUGUAUAUAAUUUAAUGAAAUAUUAACGAAAAAGCUACCGAAAAGAUAAAAACGAAACCACAGGGGGGCAAUUUGAUACAUUUUAAACCACAAGGGGGCAAAGUGAGAAACUACGAAACCACAAAGGAGGUUUUUGAAGUUUUCCCUAUAUAUAUAGAGAGAGAGAGAGAGAGUCGUUACUAUCAUUUUCGUGCUUAUAAGUCGUUUGCGAUAAUAAAACUUCCUACUUGACGAUCCAUACAGUUAAACAUGACUUAGAGCAUUUGAAACUUCUAGAAAUUAAAAUUUAAAAUUUUUCACCAUCAUCUACCUUAUGACCAAAAGAUUUCAAAAUUGAUAUUUUUUAACGGCCGGUGCGAAAUGCUUGUUAGUUUAACGAUAAAAGUAUCGGAAUUGAUUAAAUUUUUUAUAGAAAAUUCUAUUCACAAUAUGAAUAAAGAUCAAAAAGUCCGAUCUUACCUGUUUUUAAAAAGUCGUUUAAUUUUGAUCGUCCAUUUUAUACCACCUGUCUGAUGGACUUUAGUAUUGCUUCGAAAAAAAGAAAAACGACUUUUUACUUACGAUCUCCAGUACCAAUCAUGCAUCAAAUUUUUUGUCCCUUGCGUUAGGAACAGUCGGUAACAGAUUUGUUGAGUCUAGUGUUCUUAAGC
rnacentral:lncRNA from 1 species